rnacentral:precursor_RNA from 8 species
UGAUAGCAUUAUAUGAGACGGCGUGUGCGUUGGUCAUUGCGCUACGCACAAAGAAGAUGCGCUGCUUGAUUUCACUUUGUGCGUGUGACAGUGACAAUGCACGCACGUCACUGCUUCGUCAUCGCCGUC